rnacentral:lncRNA from 7 species
GGUCACACUCAUUCAGCAACAGCAGCACCACCACCACCACCAGCAGCAGCGGACAGCCCUGAGGAGCAUGGGGCCUGCUGGGACUCGUCUCCUGCUAUGCUUCAGCUCCUGCCCAAUCACUUACCUGUGCCAGGAGAAGCCUCUGGACAUGCCUGGGCAGCCUCUGGACAUGCACUGCUCCCAUUCCUCGCUGAGAGGGCAUCUCCCCGAGUGCCUCUCCAUCCCAGUAGACUCUCCAGAUGUGCCCAGUCCUCAACUGGUGUGGCCUCACCAGAGAGACUCAGACCAAACAGGCCUCCACAGCCUCUCUCUAGACACUUUCUGGGAAACCACAGUGGAAUACAAAAGGGCACCAACUGUUCUGAUCUCUUGAAGAGCUCCUCAGGCAACCUUCUGUUUCUAGCAAGAUGAUACACCCAAGCCUUGAUGACAAGGCUUGGCUCUCAACCUCCUUGCUCCCCACCUCCUGUGAAAUACACAAAGAAAUUCAGUGAUCAUCGGGGAUGCUCUGGUCCAAACACUACCUGCCAGCCAGACGCAGGAGAUGGAUGGCUCAGCAGUAAUCGUGCUGCUUGAGCUUGGUGUCUAAUGGGGACAGUAGUGACAGGAAGUUCACAGGGACUGGAAGACAUGAGUUCUCUGAGGGAAAGGAAGGUGAAGCCUGGUGCUUAGGACCCUCAGGAGACCAUAGGAUGUGAGAAGGCUCAAGACACCCAGAGGUGGGGUCAGAAACAGGGCAAAGGAGACCAAGCAUGGGAGAGCUGCAGUGGACGUGUACAGACAGGAGAAGCAGGCCCUAAAGAAUCCCUGAGGCGGCAGAGAGGCUGGGCUGUGGAACUUUUUAAUUACUUUGCAUUAGGGGACUGUAGAGACCCAGAAGCCCACCCUUCCCCUCCCCUCAUCAGCUUAGCCCCAACAUAUGGUGGCUACCAAAGUAGUUAAAUCGGCUCUUGGUAGAAAAGGAAAGAGAUUCCUCCCAGGCUCUUCCCAGGGUCCACGGCCACACUCCAGGAGGGCUCAACUCCAGGGCAAGGCAGCUGGGACAGCAGGCAGCUGAAGGAGGACUAUUACUGCACCUUAGGGAAGAGUGCAGUGGCGAGUGGGGAGGACUCUGCUGGGACCCGGGGGUCAUGUGCAUUCCCAUUUAGUUGAGCUCUGCUUAAUCCGGGCCUAGGCUCACAGUAAUGGGGAACGAGGAGAGGCUCCCAUCAGAGACCAAGAAGAUGACAGACUCUCUGUAAAGGCUGUCAGAGGGGUCUGCAUGACCAACCACACCUGCUCCUGUUCCUUUGGGGCUCUUGUGACCUCCCUGUCUUCUUGUGAGAUCUUAUGUUCCUCCAACCCUGAGAGCUACAAACCAAUCUCCGGAAUAAAAAAAUCUGUCCCUCGUGCUGUC